rnacentral:rRNA from 1 species
GUGGGGAAUAUUGCACAAUGGGCGCAAGCCUGAUGCAGCGACGCCGCGUGAGGGAUGACGGCCUUCGGGUUGUAAACCUCUUUCAGCAGGGGAGAAGCGAAAGUGACGGUACCUGCAGAAGAAGCGCCGGCUAACUACGUGCCAGCAGCCGCGGUAAUACGUAGGGCGCGAGCGUUGUCCGGAAUUAUUGGGCGUAAAGAGCUUGUAGGCGGUUUGUCGCGUCUGCUGUGAAAGCCCGGGGCUUAACCCCGGGUUUGCAGUGGGUACGGGCAGACUAGAGUGCAGUAGGGGAGACUGGAAUUCCUGGUGUAGCGGUGAAAUGCGCAGAUAUCAGGAGGAACACCAAUGGCGAAGGCAGGUCUCUGGGCUGUAACUGACGCUGAGAAGCGAAAGCAUGGGGAGCAAACAGGAUUAGAAACCCGUGUAGUCC